rnacentral:snoRNA from 1 species
AAGCUGUGAUGAUUUCUGCACAAAAAGUGGCACCAUUGGGGUCUUCACGAUCUUCUGAUCACCCAGAAGAAAACGUUUGUGCAUCUGAGCUU